rfam:Brassica oleracea var. oleracea cultivar TO1000 chromosome C4, whole genome shotgun sequence
GGAAUAUAAGAAACCGUCUGUUAACUUUUAACUAAAAAAGUUAAGAACCGGCUCUUAAAACUCUUAUUUAAGAACCGGUUCUUAGCUUUUUUGGUUAAAAGUUAAGAGACGAGUUCUUAUAUUCC